AUAGGCGCUUAAUUUAGAAUAAAUAAAUUAAUAAAUCUGAAAAACUGCACAACGAAUUAUCACAGCCAUAGUGAACUGGGACCCAUGUUAAAGGAAAUCUCUGCUCUUUGUUUGCUCCUCCUGGCUCACAGAUUCCAGUUUGUUGCAUUUAUACAUGGAUAAACCUUAGCACAGCAGCCUAUCACUGAGAUUUCAGGACAACAUCGUCUAUUCACCUCCACAAAACUUUCAUUUCGCGUGCUCACGACGUCACCGCGUUGCCUAGCAACUGCCCAACAACUGUCUAAAAUCACAGGCCAAACAAGCAUGUAGUCUUGUUGUGUCCUUAAAGAGGGGAAAUAGUGAGGAGAGAUGAAUGAAUGAUACUGACGCACAGCUCUCGCUUUCACUCACUUUGCUCUAGAUCCACACAUACAAAAGCUUAUUACUUUUAAACGUUCGACAGCCCUUGCACUGGCACAAAACCUAAAAAGGACCGCACUGAGACACGUUCAAGAGAAGCAGACGGGACACUGUCGAGAUUCCUUGGUAGGAAUGUUGACAAUGCUGCCAGCCUGACUGCUCAUCACGGCUUUCGUUACCCGUUGAAGGUCUGGCUCCUGGGUUGGGGUCCUCAUAGACGUCAAAACUAGCCAAGCUCCGAGAGCCAGUUAAAGUAGUUCUGGCAUGUGACAAGGAUUCCUUCUGGGCGUCUCCCAGGUGAGGUGUACUGGCCGUGUCCAACCAGGAGGAAGCCCUGGAUCAGACCCAGGACCUGAUGGAGUUCCCCUGGAUAAGCUGGAGGAGGUGACUGUGGAGAGGGAGGACACCAGGAGAGAUGAGCAUAUCUAGCCCACAUCUGCAGAAACUGUACUUAAGAGAAGUUGGGACAAUGUUAAAGACUUCAGGCAAUUGCACUUGGAUUAUCUAAAUUCAUGACAGACAUUCAAGCAGUAAUGUCUGGACUGACAACCAGACAUACCAAGCUUCUGUGUUUGAGCCAGAGACUGCACUUGUGGAUGAGCAAUACAAACAUUUUAUCUUUAUUAUAUCAGUAAUGUAACUUGCAAUAAAAAGU